rnacentral:rRNA from 1 species
UACGAAGGGGACUAGCGUUGUUCGGAAUCACUGGGCGUAAAGCGCACAUAGGCGAAUAUGUCAGUCAGGGGUGAAAUCCCGGGGCUCAACCUCGGAACUGCCCUUGAUACAGCAUGUCUUGAGUCCGAUAGAGGUGGGUGGAAUUCCUAGUGUAGAGGUGAAAUUCGUAGAUAUUAGGAAGAACACCGGUGGCGAAGGCGGCCCACUGGAUCGGUACUGACGCUGAGGUGCGAAAGCGUGGGGAGCAAACAGG